UCCGAUAUGGUCUAAUGGUUAUGACGCUGCCCUUUCAAGGCAGAAGUUCGGGUUCAAUUCCCGAUAUCGGAAC
rnacentral:tRNA from 1 species